AGAGAAGGGGAGAGGAAAGGGAGCCAAUCGGGUGAGAGAGAAGGGAGAAGGUUGGUCGAGUAAGGGAGCCAAGAGGAAGAAAGAAAGAGAGGAAAAGAAAAGGGAAGCCGAAGAAGAAGAAAGGAAAGGAGAAAAAAAGGAAUAGCCGAGCAGGACAGGGAAGGGGGAGCCGAGAACGGUCGCCGCAAGGGAAUAAAAAGAAAGAAGAGAGAGGCGGAGGGAAGAGGGUAGUGGAAGUGAGCUGAAAGAAAGAAGGAGGAAGAGGAAUCAGCCCGAGACGCCAUGUGACGGUAGAGACCGACGCGAACAAGGCUUGAAAAUCAUCAUUCCAAUCCCAAACAAGUAAGGGAACCACGGAGUGGCUGAGAGGCAACCAUCCGAAGCCGAACCGAGGCCGAAUCGCAUCACACUAGGAAGGAAAUUAGGACGUUCAGGUAGAUCUGGGAAGAUUGUUGCUUAGAAGUAUGAGAAAGAAGAGUCAGAACCGCUGUCAGACGAGUAGAACCUGUAAAAGGAUUUAUGAUUAUGUACAUUUUGUUCAUAUUUAAAAAAUUUUUGUUUUACUUUGUUAAACUCUAAAUUUUGACAUCAUCUUCUGUAUAUAUUUAUAUGAGAUGCUAGAUUGUAUGAUACUUUUUGAGUUAUGCAUAAUGUAUG